rnacentral:rRNA from 2 species
UACGUAGGUGGCAAGCGUUGUCCGGAUUUAUUGGGUUUAAAGGGUGCGUAGGCGGCCUUAUAAGUCAGUGCUGAAAUAUCCCGGCUUAACCGGGAGGGUGGCAUUGAUACUGUAGGGCUUGAGUACAGAUGAAGUAGGCGGAAUUGACGGUGUAGCGGUGAAAUGCAUAGAUAUCGUCAAGAACACCGAUAGCGAAGGCAGCUUACUAAGCUGUAACUGACGCUGAGGCACGAAAGUGUGGGGAUCAAACAGG